AGGGGUAUAGUAUAUCGGUAGUACAGUAGUCUCCAAAACUAUUAGGCUAGGUUCGAUUCCUAGUACCCCUGCCA
rnacentral:tRNA from 1 species